UCACCUCCUUUUUAGGGAGACCUACCCAACUUUCAGAUCGAAAGCGAGCGUGCAAAUAGAUCGAAAGAUGGUCAUUCCUAGGUCGGUCGCAGGUGCUUGUUGAGAGCUUUCAAACUAUGAUUUGGUUCAAAAUGGGCUAUUAGCUCAGGUGGUUAGAGCGCACCCCUGAUAAGGGUGAGGUCCCUGGUUCGAGUCCAGGAUGGCCCACCUGAACAAGGUAGCCGAACCGGAAGGUGAGUUAAGAGUCAAAAAACUGAUUUGAAAUUGGAAUUUGAAAUUGAAUUGUGUUGGGUGUUUAAGUAGAUGCUGAGCGCCUGCUUUGCUAGGUCGGUCGAGCGGUUCGAGUGCCGCUAACCUCCACCGGUUCCGUUGAGAAUUUCUUGAAAAAAAGGUAAAAAUUCAGCAACAUGGUGAGAGCCAGACUGCUGGGUUAAGACUCAGCCAGAACCUUGAAAACUGCAUAGGAAUGCGAAAAAAGCAGGCAGUCAAAAAAGUCAAACAUUGAAAAGUCAAAAGGCAAAAAAGCCAAAGACAACAAAUGAAAGACUUGAGACAGCAAAAGCGAGGCGAAUUGAUUAGUGGUCAAGCUAUAAAG
rnacentral:tRNA from 1 species